CUCACCAACAAGGCCUGUCCUCGUCCCAGGGGCCACAGCGGGAUGGCCCCUACCAACCUGGCCCAGCUGACUUGUUGGAGGGUUUGGGAGCCGAGGCCCCUCCCCGGCGCCAGCAGCACCUACCUUGGGUGGCCGAGGUGACCAGGACGGCGGUGACACACAGAUUCCAGAGCACUGCGGCCAGGCGGGCCAUGGUGGCAGCCGGAAACCGGGUCUCACUCUGUUGCCCAGGCUGGAGUGCAAUGAUACAAUCACAGCUCACUGCGGCCUCGACCUCCCAGACUCAAGUGAUCUUCCCAUCUCAGCCUCCCGAGUAGCUGAGAUCGCAGGCUUGCACCACUAUCACCAGCUAAUUUUUAUAUUUGUUGAAGAAAAGAGGUCUUGCUGUGUUGCCCAGACUGAUCUCAAACUCCUGGACUUAAAGGAUCUUCCUGCCUGGGUCCCCCAAAACUUUGGGAUUACAGGAGUGAACCACUGUGCCCAGUCCAGGGCUCGGUUCUAACCAGUUUCUUCCUGCCUUAAGGCUGUUCCUUCUCACCUCUCUCCCUGCCUCAGUCUCCCCAGAUCCUCUCAAGGUUGCAUGCUCAAAUAUCUGUCCUCAGCUCUUUAUCUAUACCCUGGUUCUCCAGGUGUGGCCCCAGCAUACUGGAAUCAGCCUUGCCAGGAACUUGGUAGAAACGCA